rnacentral:rRNA from 1 species
GACGAACGCUGGCGGCGUGCCUAAUACAUGCAAGUAGAACGCACAGUUUAUACCGUAGCUUGCUACACCAUAGACUGUGAGUUGCGAACGGGUGAGUAACGCGUAGGUAACCUGCCUGGUAGCGGGGGAUAACUAUUGGAAACGAUAGCUAAUACCGCAUAAUAUUAAUUAUUGCAUGAUAAUUAAUUGAAAGGUGCAAUUGCACCACUACCAGAUGGACCUGCGUUGUAUUAGCUAGUAGGUGAGGUAACGGCUCACCUAGGCGACGAUACAUAGCCGACCUGAGAGGGUGAUCGGCCACACUGGGACUGAGACACGGCCCAGACUCCUACGGGAGGCAGCAGUAGGGAAUCUUCGGCAAUGGACGAAAGUCUGACCGAGCAACGCCGCGUGAGUGAAGAAGGUUGUCGGAUCGUAAAGCUCUGUUGUAAGAGAAGAACGGGUGUGAGAGUGGAAAGUUCACACUGUGACGGUAUCUGACCAGAAAGGGACGGCUAACUACGUG